AAGCACUCACCAUCGACGCUACCGUCUUUUUCGUCGUCGUCGUCCACCCUAAGGGCCGCAUUUUGUCUCUCCUCAAUUGCAUGCACGAUGUGAAUUAGUCCACUCAACAACAUGAUCAUGUCAAGAACAAUGUUGCCCCUAAUUGCAGCGGAUUUGAUACUACGGUGGAUUGAAGCAGGUGGGUGUUUCUUAGACCUUCUCAUCCUCGAAGAAUACCAGACUUGCGAGAAGGUGAAAAAACACAACAUGAACGGCUUCAAUACAUUUUGUUUACCUAAUCAACUACCAAUUCUGCAAUACUAAGAAGCCCAACAUGAUUAUUUAGAUGUUGCAAUUUAUUUAUUUUUGCUACUUCUGUGAUGGAGCCUCACUUCACAAGGCUUCACACGGCUUCCUUCAGGACCCAGGUAUUUUGAUUUUUCUUAUUCUCUCACCUGAUCCAUUUUCUUAAUUGGAGAGCUUCUUCUUGAGUUCUCAAUGUUAGGAUAAUAUAGUAUACAAGUACAACCAUACAAAUAUGAGUCUAGAAAGGGAGUUUUUUAUGUGCAUCAUUUUUCUAUAAGAAGAUCUUUAGAAAUUAAAAAAUUAAUCAGAAAAUUGAAUUAAGAAUAAUUUAAAUUGUAUAAAUUGUAUUCUUAAAUAUACAAGUUAUAAAUU